AGGACCAGGAAAAUGCCUGUGACUCUGUGUUCCCCACACACGAUGCACCUGAACCCCGAGUAUGUGCAAGAUACGUGCCUGGCUUGCAACACUAAUCAUGGUCACCUGUAGACUUGUGAGCACCUUGACCCAUAGGAAUCCACCACGACAACUUUGCAAGGACCUCCUGGGGCUUAGGGACACUAUGCAGGACUUCCUGGCUUUUGUCUACCCAGGACCAGCUCAGAUCUGCAGGUCAGGUUCCUCCCAGGAAGGGCCCCUUGGUGGAACCUUUUGGAUCACGUGUUUCCAGGACAAUGCUGCUAACUCUGAGGUCAGUGGAUUGAUGAGAUUUUCAAGACGGGAGUGUGCUGGGAGCUGCACUGGCCAGUCCUGUGGUCACCAGGCAUGUGGGGCAUGGAACAUUUGAAAUGUGGCCAGAGCAACCCAGGAAUAAAACUAAGUUGUUACAUGUAGCCAGUAACUACAACU
rnacentral:lncRNA from 1 species